rnacentral:lncRNA from 1 species
CUUGACAAUGUCCUCCUUGGCGACAUUGUCGGUCCUAAAUAUUCCGGCGCAGACGCCGAUGCGGUCCUCUCUGGUUGGCGCCCAGUAGAACUUCUCCAUACGACCAUCACGAAUGAGCGGAGCAUAGAGGGUGGAGAAGUCGUUUCCGGUGACGAUGAUGGGAACGCGGGGGUUCUCCUGCUUGUUGUACAUUCCCGGGAGCUGCACGUUGGUUGGGUUAUCGGCGAUGUUCAUGAGGGUGGCGUUCACCAUCUGGUUGUUGACCGUGUACUGGGUAGUGCCGCCGAGCCGCCCAGCUCCGGCGUCGAGAUCGUUGAUGAAGAGGCAGCACAUCUUCCCCUUCUUGAUGAUUUCGGCUGCCUCCCGGUACCUUUGCCUGAUCAAUUUUGCAGGCUCUCCUGCAUUCCCACUUUCCAGUUCUCCGGCACUCAUCAUUAUAGGGCUGCAAACAGGACGGUUAAAUCGAUCAUGAGCCUCCGAGGAAUUCACAAUGGCUUCAAACUAGCUACCAAGAAUCUAAUCAUACGACACAAGUGUUUGAUCCUUCUACAAGGUGGGGAAACACAGAAAUUGACUCAGAUAUCAGAUCAGGGUGUUCAUAGAAUCAGAGUGCCUCACAUGAAUAUGUUCAAAAUGUGUACUGAUUCAUUACAGGUGCAACAAUUGAAAUUGUAAAAAUGAAUGAUCGAUUGCUUAGAAUCCAAUCUUUCUCAUGCUGACAGAUUUAUAAUUAAUCGCAGGCAUUGUCUUCACAUCUUUAAGGGCAAAUGCCAAAAGGGAGAAAAGAUGAUGGACAACGAUGAUUUUACAAAGUCAGGUCGGAUGUCAUGGAACUCAGAUUAAAAUACAAGAGGACAUAUUGAUGGUGAAACUUCCAUGCAGAGAAACAGCAUACAAGUAUGAAUCUUGUCAAUGGCACCAUAUCAAGCAUAGGUUAGCAGUUGCAGAACAGAGACACAGCGGCAGCUAAGUUGUUAAUUUACUUAAAUAUGUAAAUUAAGGGUCUUUUAACACUACAGUGAUGAAAUUUACUUGUUAGCAAACUCUCUGUUCUAUGGGUUUGUAUGAACAAUUUGUUCUGGUUCAAAGGAACAAAAACUGAGUCGUAAAGAUUAUAGUGUCAAAGAUUCAUUGGUAGUAGCAUGUGUGGAUCGUAUAAUGAUGGAUCAGAGGUAUGUGGAAAAAGUUGUGAUAUCUCAAUUCUCUAAGAUUUGCAGUAUGUUCAAUGCUUACAGGAUUGAAGAACAAAGAAAUAUCUGCUUCUUUAAGCAGUUCAUCAUGCUCAAAUCAAUGAUUCAACCACAUGAUACGAGCUUACUUGAUUCCCAUCUUGGCGAACACGAGCUCACACUGGAAGGAUUUCCCCUGCCCUUUGCCUCCCCAGAUACCCAAAAUCAAUGGAACCUGUCAACAAAUCUUCGCAGUGAGAUUCACAUCGAACAUGUAUCAGUGCACCACCAACGAGAACAAUGAUCACCUUGAUGUUGGGCAAGUUCAUGAAGUUCUUGGAGAUGUGAACAACAAGUUUGUCCAUGAAAGCGGGAGCGAUGUAGAAUCCAUCCAUGGUGUUGUCGAGGUUGUACCUAACAUCACAACAGUAGUCAAGGCCCUGUCUCUACGAAGCAGACACAGAGAAAUGCCAUGGAGCUGCAUAGAGAAGAGGUUGUUGCAGUUGUCUUACUGACGGAG